rnacentral:rRNA from 1 species
UACGUAGGGUGCAAGCGUUGUCCGGAAUUAUUGGGCGUAAAGAGCUCGUAGGCGGUUUGUCGCGUCUGCUGUGAAAACCCGAGGCUCAACCUCGGGCCUGCAGUGGGGUACGGGCAGACUAGAGUGCGGUAGGGGAGAUUGGAAUUCCUGGUGUAGCGGUGGAAUGCGCAGAUAUCGAGGAGGAACACCGAUGGCGAAGGCGGGUCUCUGGGCCGAUA